AAAAUGGAAUUCGAAGACAAAGAUUUUAAAAUAACAAUUUCAGGAGAGAUAUAGAAAAUGUAAAAAAAAAAAAAAAGAGCACACAAAUGGAAAUUCUAGAGUUAAAACUACAAUACCUGAAAUAAAAAACAUAGUGGAUUAGAUUACUAGCAGAUUGGAUACAAUAGAGAAAAAGGACUAGUGAACUUUAAGAUAGGUCAAUAUAAAAAAUCCAGGCUAAAGCACAGAGAGAAAAACAAUGUUUGAAAAAGAGCCUCAAUGACCUGUGGGGCAGUAUCAAGUGGUCUAAUUUACAUCCACCACCCAAUCAGAAGUAGCCUUGAUGUCACUCAGGGUAAGAGCAAGGCAAAUAAAUAACAGAUGAUUCAAAGGACACACAUUGACUGAGCUUUGAUGCUGACAGGCCCCUUCCCAGAAAAGAAGGAAAUGAGUCUCGAGGCUAGAAAUUUGUUAUCACUUUCAUCUGCCCAGAGUCAAUGUUGUCUCUGUUGUCUUUAUUGUCCUUCAGGCAACAGGAAAGACUCUGGAGGGGCUGAGCAGAGAUGCUCAAGAAAGAAUUAAAAGUGACAUCCCACUACACAGUCAAGUUUAGAGAAAACAGCCAUUAGUGUAUUUGAGGCCAGAAGGUGAGGUUUGCCCUAAGAACAGCCUCCAUUCCCAGAGAAUGGCUCCUCUUGACUUCGUACAGCAGAGUGGGCCACACUAGGUUCAGUCCAAGCUCUACAACGUUACAUACCUCCAACAGCUAUUGUUUUGCAUUAAUCGAUAGGUUCCUUUAAAGUUAUUCUCAUGUACACUUCCUGAGGCGGUCUUGUCUUCUAUUUCAUGUUUCCCAACCAGACACUUUUGUGCAUCCCAAAGAACUCAAUGGUGUACCUAGAAUAUAGGAGCAAUUUAAGCUUAACCACUUUGAAAAUGGAAUCGUAAAAUUCUAAAGCUGAAAGAGACCUUAUAAAUCUAGUACACCUCACUAUAAAUAAAAGCAUUAAAGUAUGAGAUUAGAAACAAAAAAUUCACAAUUGAUCUUCCCCAUCUCCCACUCCUUUUUUUUUCUAUCUUUCUUUUUUUAAGGUUUUUUUUGGUAGUAAAAUAUACAUAACAUAAAACUUACCCCAUUUUUUCUUAAUUGAAAACUACAGUCUGUAACCUUGUAUCACAUAAUUUCUCCUUUUAUAUAUUUAUCUAUCUUUAAUUUUCAACAAAUAACUGAUUUUCACAAAUUAAAUAUAGCAGCUUCAAUAUGAAAACAAUGAGUAACUACUAAGUUAUCCUCUUUACAAGGUGACUGAUAAAAAGGUGGUUAUUUUUCUGAGGCCAAAAUAUUACCCUCAUAAGUGAUACCUUUUAUAGUUACAUAUGUGUAAAUGGGUAUUUGCAUAACCAGGAAGCUAGAGAUAAUGUUUUGCAUCUGACAAAGAACAAAGAGAGUUGCUCAUUUAGUCCCUCAUUUAUAGCCACG
rnacentral:lncRNA from 1 species